rnacentral:rRNA from 1 species
AACGAACGCUGGCGGCAUGCCUAACACAUGCAAGUCGAACGAACCCUUCGGGGUUAGUGGCGCACGGGUGCGUAACGCGUGGGAACCUGCCUUUAGGUUCGGAAUAACUCAGAGAAAUUUGAGCUAAUACCGGAUAAUGUCUUCGGACCAAAGAUUUAUCGCCUUUAGAUGGGCCCGCGUUAGAUUAGGUAGUUGGUAGGGUAAUGGCCUACCAAGCCGACGAUCUAUAGCUGGUCUGAGAGGAUGAUCAGCCACACUGGGACUGAGACACGGCCCAGACUCCUNACGGGAGGCAGCAGUGGGGAAUAUUGGACAAUGGGCGAAAGCCUGAUCCAGCAAUGCCGCGUGAGUGAUGAAGGCCUUAGGGUUGUAAAGCUCUUUUACCAGGGAUGAUAAUGACAGUACCUGGAGAAUAAGCUCCGCUAACU